rnacentral:rRNA from 1 species
CCCUUAGAUGUUCUGGGCUGCACGCGCGCUACACUGAUGCACUCAACGAGUUUAUGACCUUGCCCGAUAGGGUUGGGUAAUCUUUUUAAAAUGCAUCGUGAUGGGGAUAGAUUAUUGCAAUUAUUAAUCUUCAACGAGGAAUUCCUAGUAAGCGCGAGUCAUCAGCUCGUGCUGAUUACGUCCCUGCCCUUUGUACACACCGCCCGUCGCUCCUACCGAUUGAGUGCUCAGGUGAAUAAUUCGGACUGCAGCAAUGUUUGGAUCCCGAACGUUGCAGCGGAAAGUUUAGUGAACCUUAUCACUUAGAGGAAGGAGAAGUCGUAACA